UACAGAGGGUGCAAGCGUUGUUCAGAAUUAUUGGGCGUAAAGGGCGCGUAGGCGGUGCGGUAAGUCUGUAGUGAAAUCUCUGGGCUCAACUCAGAGUCUGCUGCAGAAACUGCCGUGCUUGAGUGUGGGAGAGGUGAGUGGAAUUCCCGGUGUAGCGGUGAAAUGCGUAGAUAUCGGGAGAACACCUGUGGCGAAAGCGGCUCACUGGACCACAACUGACGCUGAGGCGCG
rnacentral:rRNA from 1 species